GGAGGAGAUGAUGCAGAUUUGAUUUGAGAGAGAAAAAAAGGAGUCUGAGAGAGAGACAUGUGAGUGCACGACUCCAUCGCUCUACAACGACGAUGGGUGAAUUCCAUGGCCACACCACUUAAUCGCCCUACCAGGUGAAGACGGUGAUGAUUGAAAUACUGGGUUCUGCGACAAGACUCCACCCUUGCCACCCCUCCUUAUCUCUGCCCUGUUCCCUCAACCAACACCACCGCUUCCUCUGAAAAAAAGGGGGUUUCCUUCUUGCUGGUUGUACAAUUUAAUCGCUGGUGUUAAAAAAUGAGGUGGAGGAGGAUACAGUGGUUGGCAGGAGACCCUAGGGUUUCUAAUUGGGUCCUUUGCAUCGGGGAACAGUUGUGUUAGUGUGUUUAGCUUGGCUACCGUUGCAAACAAUUGAAAACAAAAUCAAGAAGACUUGGAGCUGGUGUUGUUGCAACUACCACAAGUUAUUGAAUUGAUGAUUAUCCUGAGUAAAUUGCUUCUAAAUGGAAAUUUCGCCAUAAAUUAACGACAACGAUGAUGAUAAUUGUUGAAUUGAGGGUUUAUAGGCGGUAUUUGCGGUGGUCAAGAGAAGUCGAAUAAAGAGAAAACGGGUAAUAGAUUCAACUUUACGGUUUAUAUGUGUAGAUAAAGUGAAGGUCAAUAAAAUUGAUGAAUUAUCCAUUUCAAUCAUCGAGCCUAGGGUUGUAAACGAACCGAACGAACACGAACAAGGCCAUGUUCGUGUUCGUUCAUUAAAGAAAUUAACAUGUUCACGAACUGUUCACGAACGCAUACCGAACAUAAGUUUAUGUUCAUGUUCAUUCGUCAAGGAAAUUCAGUUGUUCAUGAACAGUUCGUGAACACUGGUCUCGAACACAAACGAACGCAAGCGAACACAAACGAACGUAAGCAAAUAAAAAAGAACGCAAACGAGCAUUUAACUUGAAAAUAAAAAAAUAAAAAUAUAGUUUUCUUUAAACAUUGGAUAUAAGUAGUUAAAUACAACCAUCAAAUGAUAAAUCAAAACACAAGAAGUCUAAUACACCACCAAACGAUGAAUCAACUUUAACUAACUUAGACAUAAUUAUCCCCAAAAAUGUCUUAGCAUGUUCAAAUUUUAGCUAACUUAGAAAAAAAUAGGGUUUCAAGUUUUCAAUAUGUUUAGAUAAAAGGUUUAUUAUUUAGGAGAUCAAAUAGGAAGUUAAUUUUCGCUAGGAAGGAUAGGAAGCCAUAGGAUUAUGACAUGUGGCAAAUUUUAAAAUAAAGAGAAAGGGUAUUUUAGUCAAUCCAACUCCUUCUUCUUCCUUUUUCAAAACCCAGUAAAUUCAAAAACCCACCAUUUUCAAAACCCACAAUCUUCAACUAUUUCUUCACUUUCUAUCUCAAUAAUCACUACAUUAUAGUGCGAUUUUCAUCACCAAUCAGUGAUUCAGAACCCGAUCAACGUGUUCUUCAGCUUUUUUUUUUUUGAAGAAAACCCAGUUUAAUUUCAUUUUCAUGAUCUGGGUUUUUGAUUUAGUCAUUGCGUUUUACGAUCUUUGCGGGGUCCCAGGGGCGGCAGCCCCUGGCGGGGUCCAAGGGGCAGAGCCCCUGGCUGGGGUUGAAUUGCUGUACUAAAAAUUUUUUCGAUUAAAUUGUUGUACUAAAAACGCAUCAGAAAAAUUAAUUUUCCAGAAAUUGGCUCAUUUCGAAGACAGUAAUUCGUAGACAAUUCAGACAGUUCACAGUGACAGACAGUUUUAUGUGUCCAUUGCGUUUUAGAAAUAAGAGAGUUUUAUGUGGUUUCUGGCUAAUGCGUUUUAGAAAAAAACACAUUUUUAAGUGUUUUUAGUCAUUGCGUUUUAGGUAAAACACAUUUUUAGGUGUUUUCAGUCCAUUGCGUUUUAGAAUGAGUCAUUUUUAAGUGUUUUCUGGCCAUUGCGUUUUACAUAUAAGACAUUUCUUUGUGUUUUUGGUGCAUUGCGUUUUAGGUAAAACACUUUUUUAUGUGUUUUCAGUCCAUUGCGUUUUAGAAAACAUACAUUUUAAGUGUAUUCUGGCCAUUGCGUUUUACAAAUAAGUCAUUUCUUUGUGUUUUUGGUGCAUUGCGUUUUAGGUAAAACACUUUUUUUAUGUGUUUUCUGGCCAUUGCGUUUUACAAAUAAGACAUUUCUAUGUGUUUUCUGGCCAUUGCGUUUUACAAAUAAGUAAUUUCUUUGUGUUUUUGGUGCAUUGCGUUUUAGAAAAAUGUCAUUUUUUAGGUUUUUUUUUCAUUGCGUUUUACGUGGUUUUUCUAUUGCGUUUUACGCAACUGGGUUUAAUUUUUUUUUUAAAAUAUAGCAAUAGUAUACUCGUUUUAAAGAUAAAAAAACGCUCGUUUUUUUGGUGCAAUUUUUAUAAAAAAAUAAUGUCGUAUGAAAGAGUUAUUAACGUUUAAAAAAUGGGGGGGAAUUGGAGGAGAGAGAAACUAUUGGCUUGGAUUGACUAGAGUGCCCUUGAACAAACUCACGCGCCUCUUUUCUUCCUUUUAAUUUCCCUGAUUUAAUCUUAGCCUUGAUUAACUUAAUGGAUGGUCAAGAUCACUUCCUAUCCUUCCUAGCCAAAUAAACUUCCUAUUGUAUCUCCACCCUUAUUAUUUAUUAUUUUUUAAUAUAAUCAAACGAACCAACGGACGAACAUAACCGAACAUAUUACCGAAUGUUCACGAACGCAGUCGAACGAACGAGACCUAUGUUCGUGUUCGUUCGCUAAGCUAACUGAACGAAAUUUUUUGUUCAUGUUCGUUCGUUAAGCUAAUCGAACGAACAUAAACGAACUUUCCUCCAAACGGUUCGCGAACUGUUUGCUGAACGUUCGGUUCGUUUACAACCCUAAUCGAGCCCUGCGCUCUUCUUAUACCUUCACGCAGACGAAGAUAGAUAACUACAAUCUGAGGUACGAUUUCCACUGUUAGUUGAAUAGGCUUUUCUUGGUUCUGAUUUGCUUACAUUUAUUGGGUUUUUGCAUUUUAGGUUAGGGCUUCUCUGGAUGUGUUCGUUUCUAAUAUGGCUUUCAAGUGUCAUGAUCAUUUUCUUUGUCCAUUCACUUGCAAUCGCAACCAGGAUGCAUGCGAGAUCUAUUCCAAAGAAUCAGGCGACUUUGGCUCUAGUUAGGGCUUAUGACAAGGAUGCUUCGAAAUUCAGUUGAAGAAAGGCACUCACUAAUUUUGAACCCAGCUCAUGUGAUGGAAAGUUAAGUCCCGGGACUGAAAAUGAAGGUUGAAGUUGUUGGUGGUUAGACAAGAGGUUGGCUGAGAAUGAUGUUACCCUCAAGUGAGUGAAUUAGAAAAACUGAAGAAGUAAGGAAAUGAAUAAUGUGACCUUGGCAAUGAUGCACUGAACCUGUUUUGCUUAAAUGCCUCAUCGAAAUCUGGUUUUUUGGAACACGAUGAUUGCAAGAUGUUUAAAAUCUUAUAGAUGGAAAAAGUGACAUGAGGAAAUGCAAUACUCCAAAGACAGAUUUCAGAUGGAAAAAAAGUGAAAACAUGAACAAAUGCGAUACUACUAAGACAAUAUCUCAGUUGAGUCAGGAGAGGAUAUUUGGACUCCAAGCUAAUGGUGUAUACUGUAUAGAUAGUUGCCGUAGCUAAGUUCAGGCUAGCUAGGUGAUGUUACUAUGGAAUGUUAAUGUAACAAACACUUGGGUUUUAUUAAGUAUGAUCUAUAUGAAUGGAACUCCGCCGCAUCGCGACGGGUGAUAAAUCUAGUAUU
rnacentral:lncRNA from 1 species